rfam:Schistosoma mansoni strain Puerto Rico chromosome 6, complete genome
AUCCAGCUGACGAGUCCCAAAAUAGGACGAAACGCAUAUCCUGGAU